GGGGAUAUAAUUCAGUGGUGGGUGCAUGCCCAGCAUGCAUGAGGCUCUGAGUUCAAUCCCCAGUACUUCCA
rnacentral:tRNA from 1 species